rnacentral:ncRNA from 1 species
AUAAAGGCAUUGAAAGAGCUAGUAAAUAGGUGGAAAUCGUCUAAAGGGAAGAAGCAUCAUAGACUGUAAGUGCUUCUGGCGAUCACCAAUUGAAAUUUCACUCUGGAGCCGACACUGGGACCUUGCAUGAAGCAAGUAAAGGUGUACCGGUUUAUACCGUUAUCUGUUAACUUGAGUGGAUAUAGUUUUGAACUAUUUCAACAAGGGUGGUACCGCGAUACAUUUAGUCUCGUCCCUUUU